AGCAGCCGCGGUAAUUCCAGCUCCAAUAGCGUAUAUUAAAGUUGUUGCAGUUAAAAAGCUCGUAGUUGAAUUUCGGGGUCAGUAGGUUGGUCGUGCCAAUGGUAUGUACUGGCUUUACUGAUUCCUCCUUCUUGAAGAACUGUAAUGUCAUUAAUUUGGUGUUGCAGGGAAACAGGACUGUUACUUUGAAAAAAUUAGAGUGUUUAAAGCAGGCUAACGCUUGAAUACAUUAGCAUGGAAUAAUGAAAUAGGACGUUCGAUCCUAUUUUGUUGGUUUCUAGGAUUGACGUAAUGAUUAAUAGGGAUAGUUGGGGCAUUAGUAUUCAAUUGUCAGAGGUGAAAUUCCUGGAUUUAUUGAAGACUAACUACUGCGAAAGCAUUUGCCAAGGAUGUUUCAUUAAUCAAGAACGAAAGUUAGGGAUCGAAGACGAUCAGAUACGUCGUAGUCUUAACAUAACUAU
rnacentral:rRNA from 1 species